UACGUAGGGGGCAAGCGUUGUCCGGAUUUAUUGGGCGUAAAGAGCGUGUAGGCGGCUAAAUAGGUCCGUUGUGAAAACUCGAGGCUCAACCUCGAGAUGCCGAUGGAAACCAUUUGGCUAGAGUCCGGAAGAGGAGAGUGGAAUUCCUGGUGUAGCGGUGAAAUGCGCAGAUAUCAGGAAGAACACCCGUGGCGAAGGCGGCUCUCUGGGACGGUACUGACGCUGAGACGCGAAAGCGUGGGGAGCGAACAGG
rnacentral:rRNA from 1 species